ACGCCAUUAGCUCAGAUGGCUAGAGCAUCGGACUCUUAAUCCGGGUGUCCAGGGUUCGAAUCCCUGAUGGCGCA
rnacentral:tRNA from 1 species